AGAAUCAACGCUGGCGGCGUGCCUAACACAUGCAAGUCGCACGAGAAAGGGGAGCAAUCCCUGAGUAAAGUGGCGCACGGGUGAGUAACACGUGAAUAAUCUACCUCCGAGUGGGGAAUAACUGAGAGAAAUCUUAGCUAAUACCGCAUAACACUUACGAGUCAAAGCAGCAAUGCGCUUGGAGAGGAGUUCGCGGCCGAUUAGUUAGUUGGCGGGGUAAUGGCCCACCAAGACGAUGAUCGGUAUCCGGCCUGAGAGGGCGCACGGACACACUGGAACUGAAACACGGUCCAGACUCCUACGGGAGGCAGCAGUGGGGAAUUUUGCGCAAUGGGGGAAACCCUGACGCAGCAACGCCGCGUGGAGGAUGAAGCCCCUUGGGGUGUAAACUCCUUUCGAUCGGGAAGAUAAUGACGGUACCGAUAUAAGAAGCCCCGGCUAACUUCGCGCCAGCAGCCGC
rnacentral:rRNA from 1 species